GGACGAACGCUGGCGGCGUGCUUAACACAUGCAAGUCGAGCGGUAAGGCCCUUUCGGGGGUACACGAGCGGCGAACGGGUGAGUAACACGUGGGUGACCUGCCCUCAGCUCUGGGAUAAGCCUGGGAAACCGGGUCUAAUACUGGAUAUGACUCCAUGACGCAUGUUGUGGGGUGGAAAGCCUUGUGCGGCUGAGGAUGGGCCCGCGGCCUAUCAGCUUGUUGGUGGGGUGANGGCCUACCAAGGGCGACGGACGGGUAGCCGGCCUGAGAGGGCGACCGGCCACACUGGGACUGAGACACGGCCCAGACUCCGUACGGGAGGCAGC
rnacentral:rRNA from 1 species